AGUGAACGCUGGCGGUAGGCCUAACACAUGCAAGUCGAACGGCAGCACAGAGGAGCUUGCUCCUUGGGUGGCGAGUGGCGGACGGGUGAGGAAUACAUCGGAAUCUACUCUGUCGUGGGGGAUAAUGUAGGGAAACUUACGCUAAUACCGCAUACGACCUACGGGUGAAAGCAGGGGACCUUCGGGCCUUGCGCGAUUGAAUGAGCCGAUGUCGGAUGAGCUAGUUGGCGGGGUAAAGGCCCACCAAGGCGACGAACCGUAGCUGGUCUGAGAGGAUGAUCAGCAACACUGGAACUGAGACACGGUCCAGACUCCUACGGGAGGCAGCAGUGGGGAAUAUUGGACAAUGGGCGCAAGCCUGAUCCAGCCAUACCGCGUGGGUGAGGAAGGCCUUCGGGUUGUAAAGCCCUUUUGUUGGGAAAGAAAUCCAGCUGGCUAAUACCCGGUUGGGAUGACGGUACCCAAAGAAUAAGCACCGGCUAACUUCGUGCCAGCCGCCGCGGUAA
rnacentral:rRNA from 1 species